ensembl:lncRNA
CUUUGGCAUUAUAAUUGUUUAAUCCGCACAAAUGAUCUAAAUGGCAGGCUACUUUGACACUGACAAAUUUAGUAUCUGAGAUUUUUUAAAAACGACCUUGUCUUGAAUCCAUCAAUAGCCUAUAGGCCUAGGUUUGUGGAGAAACAUAUAGUAGGCUACAAUAUGAGGAGGAAAUUAGUCCUAAAAACGCUUUCCAAAAAAAAGAAGCUAUUGGUCCUCUGUAGCUAAAUUAUAGGGCUUCUCGUGACGUAUUAGGCUAUUCUGAAUGAUUUAAUUUAUUUCUGAACAGACAGCAGUAAUUCCGUAACUUUAGAAAAUUCCUCCAGAACCCUUCAUGCAGCUAUGAUUCUAUAAGGAAACAAAUGAUGAAGUGCAACUCUGGAGAGAUGAGGGGGCAGGAUAAUUGACGAAGAGGCAACUCGAAUGAACUUUGAUCGCUUUUAUUAUAAUUGUUACAUAGCAAAAAGUGAAAAUUAUUUUUCAUGGCACGAGAGGUACCGGAUUCGUCCAAAUAGGUUCCGGAACAAAACAGUCCAGAACGGAAAGGUGCCGGAUCCUGUUCUGGCAUGAUCCUGCUCAAAUUAAGCACUGAUUUGAAGUACCUAGGCCUCUACCUGCUGAGUAUAAAGAUUAUUCAACUAGAUUCAGUGAGCUUGUCAUUCACAGUACUGAUGAAAAAUCAAGUAUAUUUGAUCUAAAUGUGGAUAUACGAGGACAUCUAGUGGUCACCGGAUUUAAAAAAAUUCAUGCAAGCUAUCUUUGCACUAGCAUGCGAUGCCAUAUAUUUGACGCAGGUAUUUAUUAUUCAACAUGUAUUGUCAUUGACUGGAACAAAAUAUAAUUGUAUGAGCUAUGCCUCUGUGUCUCAGCGUUGUUGCACCCCUCUACUAUCUGGCUUGGUGGGGCGAUCUCGUUCUGCAUGCCUGCUUCACUUAUAUUCAAUGUGUCGUCAUGCAUUUGUGCAUGCACGCUGUUAACGGUCAUAUCCGUCUUGCUAAUUUAGCUAGCUCAUCAACCAGUAUUUUAUUCGCUUUUUCUGCACGAUAGCACUUAUUAAAGCCUUGAAACUCAUGGGGACCUCACUGUUACCACGGGUCAUCGAGCUAGCCCUUAUUUGGCAGCAGGGUUGCAUCGGUUUCCACUGGAUGUGACAGCUUGUUAGGCUGGCUAGCUAGGUAGCUAAUUCCCUAAUGCGAACUGUUUAUCACGUGGCAGCCUAUGCUGACUAGCGUCGCUAGCAACUAGCUAACAUGGAUAAAGUCUAGUCGUGGGUCCACAAAAUCAAACAAAUGGUACUGACCUGAUGACAAAAUCAUAUUUCGAAAUUGUAGAUAUUUAUGUUUGUGUUGUUGCUUAAUGAAAUUGCGAAUAUCAUAAUUUUUGUCAUUUAACUACCGGUAUGUAUCUAAUCCGGUUUCGGCAUGAGAAAAGUAUUAAUCGCAAAUUCCAGCACUAACGGAUACCGGGAAAUAGAAAUAAGAGAACCGGUCACGAAUGCGGAGCCACGCCCUAAAAUAACAUGUGACCACAAGGCGUUUGUGACACAUUCAUGCGUUCCAACUUUGUCAUAAUUGUCUGUAGGUUCUAAAUUGCUUAUGAGCUUGGCUUCCCUUCAGAAAGUAGCUGAUUCUUGUACUCUACAGCUGUAUUUUCCUUCAGUUACUAAUAAUACGAGCAACAAAACAGAUUUCAUUUCUUAAAAUGAUAUUGCCAGAUGGAAGAAAAUAAUAAGAGCCUUGUCCCAGUCUCUAGACCUGCCUGUCUGUGUGAUGGAUGACCACCUGACCUCUGAAGCUGUCAAUGAGAUGGAGCAGAGCAAUUCUACCAGGAGCAGAGCAACCUCAGUGAUGGAAACCACAGAAGAGGGGAAGCUCAACAAUGUGGAACAUCUGACACUUAUGGACUUCCUUCAAAACCUAACUGAGAAGCAAUGGAGGGGGAUUCGUGAGGGCAUGUUUGACCCGCUGACAAAACAACAGCUUGCUGGCUUGUGUCUGAGGAUUGUCCAGUUUUUAUCGGACAAGCUGAUGCAGAUCAUCAUCCCAGGUCUUUACGAACUACUGGGCAUCCAAGAUGCUGCCUCCUCUCCAUUGUCACAGAGAUCUCUCACAGCGUCACUCACCAGUUUGUUAGACGAUAACACUAACACCAAGUCCCGCGUGAGAUUUACUGAGGCUGGUGUACCUAAGAGGCCAGGCAGUCGAAAGUCUUACAAUAGCUUUCGCAUCCCGACUCCCUACCCUUCCUCCAACUGUAUGGAUCAGGAAGAGGAAGAAGAGCAGGAAUCACAACAACUUAAGUUCAAGGAGAUUUACCUGACUAAGGGCAGUGGAACCUACCUGCCCAAGGGGGCCACAAGGUAUGUUCUUAAAGGGAAAUUUAACAACUUCAUA